rnacentral:rRNA from 1 species
GAGUUUGAUCAUGGCUCAGAACGAACGCUGGCGGCAGGCCUAACACAUGCAAGUCGAACGCCCUCUUUGGAGGGAGUGGCAGACGGGUGAGUAACGCGUGGGAACCUACCUAGUAGUACGGAACAACACAGAGAAAUUUGUGCUAAUACCGUAUACGCCCUACGGGGGAAAGAUUUAUCGCUAUUAGAUGGGCCCGCGUUGGAUUAGCUAGUUGGUGAGGUAACGGCUCACCAAGGCGACGAUCCAUAGCUGGUCUGAGAGGAUGAUCAGCCACACUGGGACUGAGACACGGCCCAGACUCCUACGGGAGGCAGCAGUGGGGAAUAUUGGACAAUGGGCGCAAGCCUGAUCCAGCCAUGCCGCGUGAGUGAUGACGGCCCUAGGGUUGUAAAGCUCUUUCAACGGUGAAGAUAAUGACGGUAGCCGUAGAAGAAGCCCCGGCUAACUUCGUGCCAGCAGCCGCGGUAAUACGAAGGGGGCUAGCGUUGUUCGGAAUAACUGGGCGUAAAGCGCACGUAGGCGGAUUGUUAAGUUAGGGGUGAAAUCCCAGGGCUCAACCCUGGAACUGCCUCUGAUACUGGCAAUCUA